rnacentral:rRNA from 1 species
UACGUAGGGAGCAAGCGUUGUCCGGAAUCAUUGGGCGUAAAGCGCGUGUAGGCGGUUACAUAAGUCUGUUGUGAAAGUCGGAGGCUCAACCUUCGAAAGCCGAUGGAUACUGUGUGACUUGAGUACGGAAGAGGAGAGUGGAAUUCCUGGUGUAGCGGUGAAAUGCGCAGAUAUCAGGAGGAACACCAACGGCGAAGGCGGGUUGCUGGGCUGACACUGACGCUGAGGCGCGAAAGCUAGGGGAGCGAACGGG